AUUGAACGCUGGCGGCAUGCCUUACACAUGCAAGUCGAGCGGCAGCGCGGGGGCAACCCUGGCGGCGAGCGGCGAACGGGUGAGUAAUACAUCGGAACGUGCCCAGUUGUGGGGGAUAACCAGUCGAAAGACUGGCUAAUACCGCAUACGAUCUACGGAUGAAAGCGGGGGAUCGCAAGACCUCGCGCUAUUGGAGCGGCCGAUGUCCGAUUAGCUAGUUGGCGGGGUAAAAGCCCACCAAGGCGACGAUCGGUAGCUGGUCUGAGAGGAUGAUCAGCCACACUGGAACUGAGACACGGUCCAGACUCCUACGGGAGGCAGCAGUGGGGAAUUUUGGACAAUGUGGGCAACCCUGAUCCAGCCAUGCCGCGUGAGUGAAGAAGGCCUUCGGGUUGUAAAGCUCUUUCGGCGGGGACGAAACGGUUCGCGCUAACACCGCGGACUAAUGACGGUACUCGCAGAAGAAGCACCGGCUAACUACGUGCCAGCAGCCGCGGUAACAC
rnacentral:rRNA from 1 species